AGCGCACACGGUGGAUGCCUUGGCGGUCAGAGGCGAUGAAGGACGUGGCAGCCUGCGAAAAGUAUCGGGGAGCUGGCAACAAGCUUUGAUCCGGUAAUGUCCGAAUGGGGAAACCCACCCGCUUGCGGGUAUCCUGCAGUGAAUACAUAGCUGCUGGAAGCGAACCUGGUGAACUGAAAUAUCUAAGUAACCAGAGGAAAAGAAAUCAACCGAGAUUCCGUAAGUAGCGACGAGCGAACGCGGACUAGCCCUUAAGCUGAUUUGGUUCUAGGAAAACGCUCUGGAAAGAGCGGCCAUAGAAGGUGAUAGCCCUGUAUCUGAAAGGGCCAUUUCAGUGAAGACGAGUAGGGCGGGGCACGUGAAACCCUGUCUGAACAUGGGGGGACCAUCCUCCAAGGCUAAAUACUACUGACCGACCGAUAGUGAACCAGUACCGUGAGGGAAAGGCGAAAAGAACCCCGGAGAGGGGAGUGAAAUAGAACCUGAAACCGUGUGCGUACAAGCAGUAGGAGCUCCGCAAGGAGUGACUGCGUACCUUUUGUAUAAUGGGUCAGCGACUUACUGUUCGUGGCAAGCUUAACCGUAUAGGGGAGGCGAAGGGAAACCGAGUCUGAUAAGGGCGCAUAGUCGCGGGCAGUAGACCCGAAACCGGGUGAUCUAGUCAUGCCCAGGGUGAAGGUGCGGUAACACGCACUGGAGGCCCGAACCCACUCCCGUUGCAAAGGUAGGGGAUGAGGUGUGAUUAGGAGUGAAAAGCUAAUCGAACCCGGAGAUAGCUGGUUCUCCUCGAAAGCUAUUUAGGUAGCGCCUCAUAUGUAUCCUCUCGGGGGUAGAGCACUGUUAUGGCUAGGGGGUCAUCGCGACUUACCAAACCAUUGCAAACUCCGAAUACCGAGACGGACUGUAUGGGAGACACACGGCGGGUGCUAACGUCCGUCGUGAAAAGGGAAACAACCCAGACCCACAGCUAAGGUCCCAAAUUUUGUGCUAAGUGGAAAACCAUGUGGAAAGGCACAGACAGCCAGGAGGUUGGCUUAGAAGCAGCCACCCUUUAAAGAAAGCGUAAUAGCUCACUGGUCGAGUCGGUCUGCGGGGAAGAUUUAACGGGGCUAAGCACAGAACCGAAGCUUGGGGUGCAUAACUUUGUUAUGCGCGGUAGAGGAGCGUUCCGUAAGCCGUUGAAGGUGGAUUGAGAAGUCUGCUGGAGGUAUCGGAAGUGCGAAUGCUGACAUGAGUAACGAUAAUGCGGGUGAAAAACCCGCACGCCGAAAGCCCAAGGUUUCCUUGCGCAACGUUAAUCGGCGCAGGGUGAGUCGGCCCCUAAGGCGAGGACGAAAGUCGUAGUCGAUGGGAAGCAGGUUAAUAUUCCUGCACCUCGCGUAAGUGCGAUGGAGGGACGGAGAAGGUUAGGUGUACCAGGCGUUGGUUGUCCUGGGGAAAGGCGGUAGGUUUGGAUCUUUGGCAAAUCCGGGAUCCUCUAAGACCGAGCACCGAGACGAGCCUUUAUGGCGAAGUCACUGAUACCACGCUUCCAGGAAAAGCUCCUAAGCUUCAGCUUACGCAGACCGUACCGUAAACCGACACAGGUGGGUAGGAUGAGAAUUCUCAGGCGCUUGAGAGAACUCGGGUGAAGGAACUAGGCAACAUGGCACCGUAACUUCGGGAGAAGGUGCACCCUUUUUGGUGGCUCGUGCGAGCUAUAGCUGAAGAGGGUCGCAGUAACCAGGCCGCUGCGACUGUUUAUCAAAAACACAGCACUCUGCAAACACGAAAGUGGACGUAUAGGGUGUGACGCCUGCCCGGUGCUGGAAGGUUAAUUGAUGGGGUCAGCCGCAAGGCGAAGCUCUUGAUCGAAGCCCCAGUAAACGGCGGCCGUAACUAUAACGGUCCUAAGGUAGCGAAAUUCCUUGUCGGGUAAGUUCCGACCUGCACGAAUGGCGUAACGACAGCGGCGCUGUCUCCACCCGAGACUCAGUGAAAUUGAAAUCGCUGUGAAGAUGCAGCGUUCCCGUGGCAAGACGGAAAGACCCCGUGAACCUUUACUAUAGCUUUACACUGAACGUUGAGUUCGUCUGUGUAGGAUAGGUGGGAGGCUAUGAAACCAUGGCGCUAGCUGUGGCGGAGCCAUCCUUGAAAUACCACCCUGUCGUGCUUGACGUUCUAACCUGGGCCCAUUAUCUGGGUCGGGGACCGUGUAUGGUGGGUAGUUUGACUGGGGCGGUCUCCUCCUAAAGAGUAACGGAGGAGCUCGAAGGUACGCUCAGCGCGGUCGGACAUCGCGCACUGUGUGCAAAGGCAUAAGCGUGCUUGACUGCAAGAUCGACGGAUCAAGCAGGUAGGAAACUAGGACUUAGUGAUCCGGUGGUUCUGUAUGGAAGGGCCAUCGCUCAACGGAUAAAAGGUACUCCGGGGAUAACAGGCUGAUACCGCCCAAGAGUUCAUAUCGACGGCGGUGUUUGGCACCUCGAUGUCGGCUCAUCACAUCCUGGGGCUGUAGUCGGUCCCAAGGGUAUGGCUGUUCGCCAUUUAAAGUGGUACGCGAGCUGGGUUCAGAACGUCGUGAGACAGUUCGGUCCCUAUCUGCCAUGGGCGUUGGAGAUUUGAGAGGGGCUGCUCCUAGUACGAGAGGACCGGAGUGGACGAACCUCUGGUGUUCCGGUUGUCACGCCAGUGGCAUUGCCGGGUAGCUAUGUUCGGAAGCGAUAACCGCUGAAAGCAUCUAAGCGGGAAGCGCGCCUCAAGAUGAGAUCUCCCGGGGCACAAGCCCCCUGAAGGAACCAUGUAGACUACGUGGUUGAUAGGUCAGGUGUGUAAGUACAGCAAUGUAUUGAGCUAACUGAUACUAAUGAUCCGUGCGGCUUGACC
rnacentral:rRNA from 2 species